GAUGAACGCUGGCGGCGUGCUUAAUACAUGCAAGUCGAGCGAAGCGGGGACGGGUGAGUACCACGUGGGUAACCUGCUAUAAGACUGGGAUAAAUUCGGGAAACCGGAGCCAAAACGGAUACUUAUAGCUGGAUGCACGCUGCAUUAGCUAGUUGGUAAUGUAACGGCUUACCAAGGCAACGAUGCAUAGCCGACCUGAGAGGGUGAUCGGCCACACUGGAACUGAGACACGGUCCAGACUCCUACGGGAGGCAGCAGUAGGGAAUCUUCCGCAAUGGGCGAAAGCCUGACGGAGCAACGCCGCGUGAGUGAUGAAGGUCUUCGGAUCGUAAAACUCUGUUAUUAGGGAAGCGGUACCUAAUCAGAAAGCCCCGGCUAACUACGUGCCAGCAGCCGCGGUAAUUC
rnacentral:rRNA from 1 species